GCCUGGGCGGCUCAGUCGGUUGAGCGUCUGACUUCGGCUCAGGUCAUGAUCUCGCGGUCUGUGAGUUCGAGCCCCGCAUCAGGCU
rnacentral:tRNA from 1 species